rnacentral:rRNA from 1 species
UACGGAGGGUGCAAGCGUCAUCCGGAUUCACUGGGUUUAAAGGGUGCGUAGGUGGGAAUGUAAGUCAGUGGUGAAAUCUCCGGGCUUAACCCGGAAACUGCCAUUGAUACUAUUAGUCUUGAAUACCGUGGAGGUCAGCGGAAUAUGUCAUGUAGCGGUGAAAUGCUUAGAUAUGACAUAGAACACCAAUUGCGAAGGCAGCUGGCUACACGAGCAUUGACACUCAAGCACGAAAGCGUGGGGAUCAAACAGG